rnacentral:rRNA from 1 species
GAGUUUGAUCCUGGCUCAGAUUGAACGCUGGCGGCAGGCCUAACACAUGCAAGUCGAGCGGAUGAGAGGAGCUUGCUCCUUGAUUCAGCGGCGGACGGGUGAGUAAUGCCUAGGAAUCUGCCUGAUAGUGGGGGACAACGUUUCGAAAGGAACGCUAAUACCGCAUACGUCCUACGGGAGAAAGCAGGGGACCUUCGGGCCUUGCGCUAUCAGAUGAGCCUAGGUCGGAUUAGCUAGUAGGUGAGGUAAUGGCUCACCUAGGCGACGAUCCGUAACUGGUCUGAGAGGAUGAUCAGUCACACUGGAACUGAGACACGGUCCAGACUCCUACGGGAGGCAGCAGUGGGGAAUAUUGGACAAUGGGCGAAAGCCUGAUCCAGCCAUGCCGCGUGUGUGAAGAAGGUCUCCGGAUUGUAAAGGCACUUUAAGUUGGAGGAAGGGCUGCAAGUUAAUACCUUGUAGUUUUGACGUUACCAACAGAAUAAGCACCGGCUAACUUCGUGCCA